rnacentral:rRNA from 1 species
UACGUAGGGUGCAAGCGUUUAAUCGGAAUUACUGGGCGUAAAGCGUGCGCAGGCGGUUGUGCAAGACCGAUGUGAAAUCCCCGGGCUUAACCUGGGAAUGGCAUUGGUGACUGCACGGCUAGAGUGUGUCAGAGGGGGGUAGAAUUCCACGUGUAGCAGUGAAAUGCGUAGAGAUGUGGACGGAAUACCGAUGGCGAAGGCAGCCCCCUGGGAUAACACUGACGCUCAUGCAACGAAAGCGUGGGGAGCAAACAGG